rnacentral:rRNA from 1 species
GACGAACGCUGGCGGCGUGCCUAAUACAUGCAAGUUGAGCGCUGAAGGUUGGUACUUGUACCAACUGGAUGAGCAGCGGACGGGUGAGUAACGCGUGGGGAAUCUGCCUUUGAGCGGGGGACAACAUUUGGAAACGAAUGCUAAUACCGCAUAAAAACUUUAAACACAAGUUUUAAGUUUGAAAGAUGCAAUUGCAUCACUCAAAGAUGAUCCCGCGUUGUAUUAGCUAGUUGGUGAGGUAAAGGCUCACCAAGGCGAUGAUACAUAGCCGACCUGAGAGGGUGAUCGGCCACAUUGGGACUGAGACACGGCCCAAACUCCUACGGGAGGCAGCAGUAGGGAAUCUUCGGCAAUGGACGAAAGUCUGACCGAGCAACGCCGCGUGAGUGAAGAAGGUUUUCGGAUCGUAAAACUCUGUUGGUAGAGAAGAACGUUGGUGAGAGUGGAAAGCUCAUCAAGUGACGGUAACUACCCAGAAAGGGACGGCUAACUACGU